rnacentral:misc_RNA from 1 species
GUGAGUCAUCGAAUCUUUGAACGCACAUUGCGCCCUCUGGUAUUCCGGAGGGCAUGCCUGUCCGAGCGUCAUUGCUGCCCUCAAGCACGGCUUGUGUGUUGGGCCCCCGUCCCCCCCACCGGGGGGACGGGCCCGAAAGGCAGCGGCGGCACCGCGUCCGGUCCUCGAGCGUAUGGGGCUCUGUCACCCGCUCUUGUAGGCCCGGCCGGCGCCAGCCGACCCCCCUCAAUCUAUUUUUUCAGGUUGACCUCGGAUCAGGUAGGGAUACCCGCUGAACUUAAGCAUAUCAAUAAGCGGAGG